rnacentral:lncRNA from 1 species
CCACUGCACUCCAGCCUGGGUGACAGAGGGAGACCCUGUCUCAAAAAAAAAAAAAAAAAAUAGAUGGGGUAGAUGCUUUUGGAAGAAUAUGCAGUCACUGCUCACACCAGCAUGGAACAAGUGGACUGGGGUUACUGCCUGGCGAGUCUCUUUCAGGUCCCUGAAUGCAGUUAACUCAGCGAGUCCUGAGUUCCCCAGGAGGUGGGCAUUCCCAUCUUACCCACGUUGCAGAUGAAGACACUGAGGUAUUGGGAGAACCUGCCCAGGUGAUACAGGUAGUAUGUGGCGGUUGGGGGAUGUGAACUUGAGCUCCUGACCAACUCUGCUGCAUGGGCUGACAACUCCGGCUUCUCCGGGAGAGGGGCAGGGGCUGAGGUGGGGCUUUUUUGUUUUUGUUUUUGGCCUUUCUGAGUCCUCUGUGCUUUCUUCCCAGGUGCAUAGAUGACUUACUUUCAGAAAAUGUCAACAGGGUGCUCUGCAGAGGGGCAUGGGCUUUUAUGCCUUUAUUAUGCUUUUCUGUAUUAAAAGAAAAAUACAGUCAUGUGAUUUUAGAAACUCAACCCAUGGAAGAGAGAAUACUGGGUCUGUAGGAAAUCUGCAAAGUGGGAAAGAUACUUCUGGGCUUGGUGGUGGCACCUUGGAGCCUGCUUACGGAAAUCACCUCUCGUUCCCGUGAUGCUGAAAGCAGAAUGCUGGACAUGGAAGAACCGCGGUACUCGAGCUUCGUCUGCUGCCCCACACCCCACUGGCUGUUGCAAGAGUGACGUUGCCAUUGGUGACUGCAGGUCUCCCAGCAGCCUGGUGCAGAGAGGCCACUUCAGGCUCGAACAGAGGCCCGGGUUUCCACGGGAGACAGCAGAGCCACGGUGUAGCAGGCAUCCAGCUCUCCCCCGAUCAGUUCCGUGACUUGUCGGAAGGCCCUCCCUCCCGGUCAGACGAAGAAAGGACUGGUGGCCUCUGGGGAUCCUGAGCCUGUCUCCAUGGGAACCAGCUCACCCACCCCCUCUCUGGCAAGUGUCCUAGUGGGAGCCAUGGGAAACCAUGGGCUCCAGCCCCUGGCCGCUGACUGGUUGGCGGCCUUCCGUUUUGAGAUCCCUGGCCCAGGGUAAUGGAGGGGACCUCAUCUUACAGAAGACACAGCGAGGGUGUGGAGAGGCUGUGGGGGAAGCACAGCCUGGCCGGCAGCUGCUGGGUGUCCUGGCUUGAGCUCAGGGCACCUUUGUCCCAGGGUGGGACCCUCAGGUCUCAGGGGCUGCUCCAUCCCCGUUGAGGGCUCCCUUCAUUCUUGAUGUCUGUCCACUCACAGAGGGGGCGUCAUGCCUCUCCAAAGACCCCCACAUUCCAGUCCUUGUGUCCCUGAGGUCGGCCUCCUGGCGGCCACCUCACAGGGAAGGCCCUGGACACAGGGCCCUGGCCUAAUGCAGCAUGGCUUCAUCUUAACUAGUUACGUGUGCAAAGACCCUGUCUCCAAACAAGGUCAUAUUUUGGGCUUCUGAGUGGAAGUUGGUUUGGGGGACACUCAUCAACCCAGCACAAUGCUCCCCCUCACCAUGUUCGUUGAAGAGAAGACUCUUGGACACCUGGAGGCCACCAGUCCUUUCUGGAUCCCCAGAGGCCACCAGUACUUUCUUCCUCUGACCUGAAACAAGAGCUAGCAGGGGCUGGCAGGCCGACUGCGUCUGCUGCCAUUUUGAGUACUGGCCCCAGCCGCAAUGCCCAGGACUGAGUCAUGGAGAUUCCCUCAGAAAUGGUGCAACCCAGUCUGUCCACAGAGUGAGGGGCGACAAGCCUGGUGGCCCCGGCUUCAGUGCAGGCCAUCCUUUCCACCUAUUGUCUCCUUUUGGUCUCAUGGGGACCCGGUUCUUGUCCUCUGCCCUGUAGCAUGGCUACGACCCUCAUGGGCCACAAACUUGAUGCCCUCAGGCGGCUAGACUCUACCCCAGAUCCGGGGCUGGCAGCGGCAUGGAUGUGGUCAACUGGCAUGCAGUUGUUACCCAGACACCCUCCCAUCAGCACUUUUUUAGGGGGUGAGUGACAGAAACUCAACUUGGGCUUAAAGGUGAAUUUACUGGUUCCUGUGAUGACAGAGUUCAAGGUUCAGCUGGACCUGGUGCCUCCAAUGACGUCACCAAGUCUGUCUGUCCAUCUGUCUGAGUUCAGCUUCCUCCAGGUCUUCGUUCUCCAGCAGGCCUUCUCCUCAAAGUGGCCAGGUGACUGUCAGCUCUAUGGUUCAUUCUACCAGUUUAUGAAUCUCCCCUCCUCAUGUUGCUCAAAUUCAGCUGUGAGUAAACUCCCAAGCUGAUUGCAGCGUCCAAAGGGAGGGCACUGGUCCCAUGUGCAGCCGGCAACUCUAUGGGUUCAGCUCCACCCAAACUAUAUAGACCACAGCAGGGAAGGAAAGCCAGGGAUGCUAGGAUGGCCAGCACCACUGCAGAAGCCUAUUGAUCCCGUGCAAAAUAGCUCCAGUAAAAGGAGGGCUUUGGGGCCCGGUGUGUUGGCACACACCUGUAAUCCCAGCACUUUGGGAGGCCAAGGCAUGUGGAUCACUUGAGGUCAAAAG